rfam:Steroidobacter denitrificans strain DSM 18526, complete genome.
CGCCGGUUUCUCCGCGACGAUCAGCCGCGAAUCCCGCCAGGCCCGGAAGGGAGCAACGGUAACGGUGAUAUCGGGCGCCGGAGAGGUGCCGGCGCGG